rnacentral:rRNA from 1 species
AUCAGGUAGGGACACCCGCUGAACUUAAGCAUAUCAAUAAGCGGAGGAAAAGAAAAUAACAAUGAUUCCCCUAGUAACUGCGAGUGAAGAGGGACAAGCUCAAAUUUAAAAUCUGUUAGGUUUUACCUGACCGAGUUGUAAUUUGAAGAGGCGUUUUCAUCGUUUUUGGUCAGCUCAAGUCCUAUUGAAUGAGGCAUCAUGGAGGGUGAUAAUCCCGUCCGGUUGGUCAAUGCGUUUUACGAUACGUCUUCCAAGAGUCAAGUUGUUUGGGAUUGCAGCUUAAAAUGGGAGGUAAAUUUCUCCUAAGGCUAAAUAACGGCGAGAGACCGAUAGCGAACAAGUACCGUGAGGGAAAGAUGAAAAGAACUUUGAAAAGAGAGUCAAACAGUGCGUGAAAUUGUUGAAAGGGAAACGAUUGAAGCCAGUCGUACCGGCGGAUAAUCAGCCUUUCGAGUGCGAUUCUGUGGAGCGUGAGGAGCUUAAUCGCCUUCACGUCUUGCAUAUUCGUGCACUUUUGGUGUACUUGUCCGUGUGGUGAGUUAACAUCAAUUCCGGUCGGCAUAAAAUGAUUGGAGGAAUGUAGCUUCGAUCUCGUAUCGAAGUGUUAUAGACUCUGGUAGAUGUGACGAUUGGGAUUGAGGAUUGCAACGGAUACCCUUCGGGCUACCCGCCUGAUCUCUGAAGGUUGCUCCGGUGCCGAAAGCGUGCUUAUGGUCAUCGAAAGUGAUCGUCAAAAGGUUAGAACGGGUUAAAUUCGUUAAGGAUGUUGACGUAAUGGCUUUAAACGACCCGUCUUGAAACACGGACCAAGGAGUCUAACAUAUAUGCGAGUGUU